rnacentral:tRNA from 1 species
AGCCUUGAACCCAGAGCAUUGGGGUUACAACCCAAAGGUUGCGGGUUCAAAUCCCGC